AAACAAAAAGUGCUCAUAUUAUGCUUUUUUGGCGUUUCCCUUUCCUCUAUUGUGCUAUAUAUCUUUUUUGUGCAUGUAAUAGGUUUACAAAGUGAUAAAGUCCAAAGAUAUCAUCUCAAACUCAAAACAGUGUUCACAAAAUGCUCUAAACAGCUCUAUUGUAGUCCAGCCUUUACUUCGGUGACAAACGUGCAUCACUUUGUAACGUACAUUAUAAUGCUCGGCUAGCUGCUAGCGUGGCACGCCCUCAUACUCUGCUUCUGACUGGCUUGCGGUGUUGACCUGUGGUGUGUCCGUGCAUGUGCGAAUCCCAACAAAAAUGGGGGA